UACGUAGGGGGCUAGCGUUGUCCGGAAUCAUUGGGCGUAAAGAGCGUGUAGGCGGCCCGGUAAGUCCGCUGUGAAAGUCGGGGGCUCAACCCUCGAAUGCCGGUGGAUACUGUCGGGCUAGAGUGCGGAAGAGGCGAGUGGAAUUCCUGGUGUAGCGGUGAAAUGCGCAGAUAUCAGGAGGAACACCAGAGGCGAAGGCGACGACCUGGAAGGUAACUGACACUGAGCAGCGAAAGCGUGGGGAGCAAACAGG
rnacentral:rRNA from 1 species